rnacentral:misc_RNA from 1 species
AACAUCGCGCACCUGCGGGAACCUGCGGAAGGAUCAUUACAGAGUUGCAAAACUCCCUAAACCAUUGUGAACGUUACCUAAACCGUUGCUUCGGCGGGCGGCCCGGGUCCUUCCCGGCGCCCAUCGGCCCUCGCGGGCGCCCGCCGGAGGUAAACCAAACUAUCGCAUUGUAUGGCCUCUCUGAGUCUUCUGUACUGAAUAAGUCAAAACUUUCAACAAUGGAUCUCAGAUCGGAAGAGC